UGGGGAAUUUUGGACAAUGGGGGCAACCCUGAUCCAGCAAUGCCGCGUGAGUGAAGAAGGCCUUCGGGUUGUAAAGCUCUUUCGUCAGGGAAGAAACACCGGCUCUAACACAGUCCGGGAAUGACGGUACCUGAAGAAUAAGCACCGGCUAACUACGUGCCAGCAGCCGCGGUAAUACGGAGGGUGCAAGCGUUGUUCGGAUUUAUUGGGCGUAAAGCGCGUGUAGGCGGUUUGUUAAGUCUGAUGUGAAAGCCCUGGGCUCAACCUGGGAAGUGCAUUGGAAACUGGCAGACUUGAAUACGGGAGAGGGUAGUGGAAUUCCUAGUGUAGGAGUGAAAUCCGUAGAUAUGUGGAGGAAUACCGAUGGCGAAGGCAGCCCCCUGGGAUAACACUGACGCUCAUGCACGAAAGCGUGGGGAGCAAACAGG
rnacentral:rRNA from 1 species